rnacentral:rRNA from 1 species
AAUAAGCCUCGGCUAACUACGUGCCAGCAGCCGCGGUAAUACGUAGGAGGCGAGCGUUAUCCGGAUUUAUUGGGCGUAAAGAGCGCGUAGGCGGCUUAUUAAGUCGGUUGUGAAAUCUCCUGGCUCAACCGGGAGGGGUCAGCCGAAACUAAUGGGCUUGAGGGCAGCAGAGGGAGGUGGAAUUCCCGGUGUAGUGGUGAAAUGCGUAGAUAUCGGGAGGAACACCAGUGGCGAAGGCGACCUCCUGGGCUGUUCCUGACGCUGAGGCGCGAAAGCGUGGGGAGCAAACAGGAUUAGAUACCCUGGUAGUCCACGCUGUAAACGAUGGACACUAGGUAUGGGGGGUAUCGACCCCUUCCGUGCCGAAGUUAACGCU